rnacentral:rRNA from 1 species
UACAGAGGUCUCAAGCGUUGUUCGGAUUCAUUGGGCGUAAAGGGUGCGUAGGCGGCGCGGUAAGUCGGGUGUGAAAUCUCGGAGCUUAACUCCGAAACUGCAUUCGAUACUGCCGUGCUUGAGGACUGGAGAGGAGACUGGAAUUUACGGUGUAGCGGUGAAAUGCGUAGAUAUCGUAAGGAAGACCAGUGGCGAAGGCGGGUCUCUGGACAGUUCCUGACGCUGAGGCACGAAGGUCAGGGGAGCAAACGGGAUUAGA